GCCAGAUUAUCAUUUGUUGUAGAAACCAAUGCUGGCAUUGUAGGAUGUUUAUUAUUUUGAUUUUGAUUUAGGAUUAACUUCAUCCCUGGACUCUACCUGCUAGAUGCCAGUAGCACCCUCUUCCACAAUUGUGACAACUAAAAAUGUCUAUGCCUCUGAGAAAGGCAAAAUCCCUCCCUACCCACAUUGAAGACCACUAAGAAGAAGCUAGCUGUCUUCCCUACCUUGGUCUGAUUUGAGAAUUAGAUGGCACAGACUGGCAAACUCAAAACAGAAACUCACAAAACUUUGAUAUCCACUGGAUCAAGUACUAUGCCAAGUCAAGGGGAUGCAGAAGAAAAAAAUAGCCAUACAUACACGAAGAACUACAGUCACAUUAACUUCAAGCAGAUGAAGCCUGUAACUUGCUGGUUCUAUACCCUGAAAAAAUGGACCUGUAAAUGAAUCUGUUUGGGUUAACAAGGCUGCCACCAUAUAGCUGGUUUUCAUUCUCUGCCCCAUCAAGCUCCUCAACUUUCUGUAUUAUCUGAACCACAAAGCACCAUACACCUCCCUUUGGACUUUUGUACAAAAUUCCCUUACUGUAAGACAUGCCCUUUGUCUAAUUUCUGAUGCUGAAUCUUGC
rnacentral:lncRNA from 1 species